AUUGAACGCUGGCGGCAUGCUUUACACAUGCAAGUCGAACGAGCGGCGCACGGGUGAGUAAUACAUCGGAACGUGUCCUAUCGUGGGGGAUAACUGAUCGAAAGAUCCGCUAAUACCGCAUACGAUUGGAUCGGCCGAUGCCCGGUUAACUAGUUGGUGAGGUAAAGGCUCACCAAGGCGACGAUCGGUAGCUGGUCUGAGAGGACGACCAGCCACACUGGGACGUAGACACGGUCAAGACUCCUACGGGAGGCAGCAGUGGGGAAUUUUGGAAAAUGGGGGCAACCCUGAUGCAGCCAUGCCGCGUGCAGGAUGAAGGUCUUCGGAUUGUAAAGGGCUUUUGUCAGGGAAGCGGUACCUGAAGAAUAAGUACCGGCUAACUACGUGCCAGCAGCCGCGGUAAUUC
rnacentral:rRNA from 1 species